CCGCGGGAGCUUAAAUACACGCAACGCCCACCCAAUGCGACGGAAAAUACUGACGCUGAAACAAGUUUUCACUUCGCGUUUUUCGAUCAUCAGAUUCUAAACGACGACGUGUAAAUCAUCGCGUCGAAACAGAGAAGAACUGUAA